AAAGUGCAGGACAAAAACAAGGAGGAGUGGCUUGGGCUCCCUCGCGGCCCCUCCUCAUCCUUCUGGGCUGGGCUCCCAGGCCUGUCUGCCCAGGAGCAGAGCGCCCACCAUCAGCGUGUCCUUGCACAGAACAGCCUCUCCCGGGGGAGGGGAGGGAUCCUCCACAGAUCACACCUUCUCCUUCAGAGUCCUGGGCUCGGAGGACACACAGCCCUUGCACGCCCAGGAGUCAGUUCCAGCAGGCUCUGCGUUUCAUCUCAGAGAUUCCAGAUUGAGCUGUCAACCUGGACACCUGCCCCAAAGGGGGCCCAGGACUUCACAAGGGGGUUGUCGCCGGGGACGGGCUGCCCGUUUGAUUAAUUUCUAGCUAAUCCAUCUUUGAUUUCUAGAGGCUGAAAAUCUAGUGAGGGGCAAGCCUUGGCUGGUAUGAACCAUUUGGUUUUAAUACUAGUUCUUAAAAUAUUGACAACAAAUACUGAGCUUCAUCUCAAGCCCCUGGAGUGCCUUCCUCUACCCAGGCCAGCAUCCCCCGCCCCGCCGGGAAAUCCGCACUAUCCAGCAGUGAAAGGGUUAACGCCUGGCUCAGUGGGAGACCCUGCCCCAGCCCAGGAGUCAUCAUCCGUUCUGAUUGGUCAGCCCUCCAGAGGCUCCUGAUUGUUAAACAUUCUGUACGUGACUCUGGAAGCGGUGCUUACUCUAAACCAGCCACAGGGCAAAAUACUGCAGAUGUCAUCGGGGCCGAAGCAAGUCGACCACUCAUCCAUCCAGUGGGCAGCAAGUUUCUUUGGAAGAUGUCCACCCUCACCCAUGCUGGGCCAGGCCCCUUCUCGUGUCACCUGGUUCUUUCCUCCGCCUCCAACCUUAGCCUUUUCCCUGGCCUCCCCGACUUCACUACAAGCUCCCCAGCCAAUGCAUCUUCCACUCACGGCCAGCCAGACGGAUGUGGUCACACCAGCUGGCUUCUUGCUGUGCUCAGGGUGAGACAGGUUGCUUUGGGUCUGUCACUGCAGUUUGUCUGUUUUUGGUCUCCCCUGUCGGAUCUCAGGCUCCACCAAGGCUCCCCAGCAUUUAUAUCCAGUGUCAGGCAAGCACCUGGAAAGGUGGAUGCUUGGCAGAUGUGUGCCGAACAGCAGAACGAGAAAGGAAUGGAUGAAAGGGCACUCAGUGUGCGGUCUGUAAGCGCCCAGAAAGAACCAGAGCUGUUUCCUGGGUGGGUUACCACCAGCAGGUAGAGACGAGACUGGCCUUCAAGACAGGGGGACAGCCACGCAAGGCUGGAGGACAGCCUGGCCUCCUCUCUAAGCAGAAAGAUAAAAUAAAGAAGAGAUUGAGAGCCUGGGGCUCUGGAGCCCCAACACCCCAAGUUCAAGUCCCGGCUCCACUAUUAACUAGCUGGCGACCUUGAGAAAGAUGUCACCUUUCUCUUUCAAAUGGGGACAAUGAUGAUAUCUACCUUAUAGAACUGUUCUGAGGACUAAAUGAGAUCUCAGGUGUGGGUGACAAGUGAGCCAGUGUGCUUGACUCUGGGGAAGGAAGUGACAUUUGCCAUGUACUUUCCGUGCGCUCUCCGAGCUGAGCUUUUCAGGCCUUUCAGUGAUCCUGUAGGCUUUCCCCUGGUGUCUCUGUUUGCCAGACGAGUCCCACAUCCACCCCUGUGGAGCCCACCAUCCCCAGCACUCAGUUCAUUGUGGGUGGCCCAGCGUACAGUGACGGUUAGCCCUACGUAGACCUUAGGGCCGCCUGGGGAGCUGGCAUAGAUACCCACCCUUGGGCCCACCUUGGCCGAAUGAACCAGAGUUUCCGGGAGUGGACCAAACGUGCACACAACUUGUCUGGUGUCACAGGCUCACAGCUGGAGAGGACCUCCGCCUCAGGAUGAGUUGUACGUACCCUGGGUCUCACUCACACCUGAAAGAUCAUAUUGAGAUGAGACUUGGGGCUUCAGGUUUUAGAGUUGAUGCCAGAAGAGUUCAAACUCUUGGGGGGUGGGGGGAUGGAAUGAAUGUGUCUUGCGUGUGAGAGGGAUGUUAAUUUUGGGAGCCAGGGGGUGCAGAAUGAACUGACUAGUGAUCCCCCCACACCCUAGAUUUCUAUGUUGAAGCUCUGACUCCUAAGGUGAUGAUAGUUGGAGAUGAAGCCUUUGGAGGUCAUUGGGCUCAGCGGAGGUCACGAGGGUGGAGCCCUCGUGAUGAGAUUAACGCCCUGAUGAGAAGAGACGCCUGAGCUCUUUCUCCAACGCAGGACGAUGCAACGAGGGAGGGGCCGUCUGCAAGCCAGGAAGAGGGUUGUCACCAGAGCCCAGCCAUGCUGGCCCCUGGUCUCAGACUUCCAGCCUUCAGAACGGUGACAAAUCUGUGUGUGUAGUUUAACCACCCGGUCUGCAGUACUUGGCCGUGGCAGCCCAGGCUGACUGAGACACUACAGGCGGGGCUUAGGAGCCAAGGGCUUAACAAGCCUCCAGGUGACUUGAAUGUCCCCAAGGUUGGCUAGACUGAGUUAAUUUUACUGUAAGGAAGAUGUGGCUGUUCAAAACGUGUGUGGGGGAGAGAAUGUGUCAUUCUUUAUUGAGGGCCUAGUGUUCUUCUCCUGCUUUCUUCUCCUUCUUCUCUUUCUCCCUUCCUCCCAGGCCAGGCCGCAGAGCCCGGUGGUAAGAACGCUCUGGGUUUGCCUCCCGGCCCCCCUUCAUUCACAGCUGGAUGGCACCUCUGUUGAAGCAAGUCUCAUACGGAGAUUGUGUGAAAUGGGCACGCGGGGACCGACUGGGGAAGCUGCUGGUCGCUGAUCAAGUCCCACCGUGUUGUGGGGCCCGAGUUCUGUUGUCAUAUACGGUCUGGCCAUUGUCGGCGCAGGCUAGGGUGUCUGGGUUUGUCCUCUUCUGCGUGAUGCGCCUUGACCAUGGUGCCUUGCCUUGUUCUUCUUGGGAUCUCUUCCGCAUAGAACUUCACAUUUGGGGCUCACCAAUGCUUGCCGAACGGUUGGAUAAAAGACAAGGUCCAGCCGCCAAGUUACAGACCACUGAGCUGUUGCAGCCUAGAGGGAACUCGAAGGUUCAUACCUACCUUAUCUCAGUUCAAGCCAACAAAUAUCAGUGAUCACGUGCCUAGAGUGUCAAGGCCCAUACCUGAGGCCACAGAAGGGCCCGAGGGAGGCAUGGAGACUAAAUAACUAUAAUCUCUUCCAAGGCUUUCCCACUGCUGCCUUGCAUUUGGGAAGUGGUUACACUAAAAUGCAGCCAGUUAAUCAGGUAGUUGUACAACACAAACAAAAUCGCCUCUGCAUAUUGUUGUUUCCAAAAUGAUGUUAACCGACAUGCUCUCAUUUAAUCUCCAAAACAGCAUGGUGAGAUAGGUAUUAUUCCCCCAUUUUACUGAUGAGCCAACUGAGGCUCUGAGAAGCUAAGCUGGCACCUGGCAGCGUGGGACUCGAAUCCAGAGCCCAGCCUCUUCCACACACUGGAGGUGGGGCGUGGGAAGGAGAAGAGGAGGGUCUGGGCGGGGGGAACAGAGGUGCUGCUUCCACGGAAGAGGGAGGGACGCUGGGCAGGUGGACAGCAGAUGUCAGAUGUCUCUGCACAUAAUGCCCAUCACGGGAGGGGGGUGGUCUGUCUCCCCCCCCCCCCCCCCACACACACACUGAGCACAUAAAUGAAAAGCAGGUCCUCAGUUUGCAAAGUGGGAACAGGUUCAGCAGGCUUGUGAGUGAAGAGAUGCCUGAGCUGAAUCUUAUCUAACUUCUGGCUUCAAGACCAUCAUCAGGGAGGGAAAUGAAAGCCAUACCCGUGUUUACACACAGCCCCCUCCCCCCGCCAGCCCCAGGGAGAGGUUCGCACCAGCAGCCUUCUCCGUGAGCACGGGAGACAUUCUGGGCCGUACUGGGCGUACCGGGCCGGUGGAGGGAGGAGGUGAGGGGCCUGGCCCACGAGCCAGCUCUGCAUUGAGUCCAGACUCGAGAGCCACGCGGUUCAGCCUUAGCGGAGGUCAAGUUGACAGAAACCAGAGCAGGGCCGAAUGCCACCCUGGGGUGUCUGGGUUGCAGGGAAUUUCGUCCAGUCUCGGCCCACCUCUGAGGUCCUUUAGGACCCCGGCAGCUGGGCAGUGUGUCCUGGGGGGACCAGUCAACCCGUUCUGGCAGAGGCCCACUGGCUAAACGCCUCCCAGUCCUAUGCUGGCUGGAACCUCCCCCCCCCCCCCCCCGGGGUAUUUUGUGCCCUUAGAGACACUGCGGUAACGUUCAAGAAGCCUAAAACAGGCUGCCCCUGGCUGGCGUUGGAAGAAAUUCAAUCUCACUGGUAAUAAAAGAUAAGUACAUUAAAACAA